rnacentral:lncRNA from 1 species
CUUUAACAGCCGUAGUUCUUUGAUGAGUUAUUUUUCCCCCUUUUUCUCUGCUUCUGUACUUAAAGAGCACUGGUGGUUUGUAAUGCUCCAGGCAUGGUUCUGUAAAGAUAUGACAAAACUGAAACUCCCUUACAGCGAUAUGGUGAGACUACUGGGACUUUGUAUGUUUCCCACGUGGAGAAAUGGGCUAGAGAAAGGACAAGAUUACACAUGCUGGGGAGAAAAGAAAGUAAACCCUGCUGAAUAUCCCCCUAAUGCAAAGCCAGACUGUUUUCUAUCCUGCUCUACGCUAUUUAUAGCAUGUAUCAUAAAAAGCUAUCUGGCCAGACUGGAUCAUUGAGGAUAAGAUGCAGCAGGAGAGCUAUAUGGAUAGUCCUCUAGAAAUAGAUGCAGUAAAAAACUGCCCAUCUGCAGAUGGUUUCACCCUGACUUCAAGCUUCAAAUUCCCCCAUUAACCAGCAGGCCAAGCCUACCAAAACUAUCCAUCAAUGAAAACAGCCACCAUGAGGCUCUCUGAUGAAACUGGCAGUGUCUUAAACAAGUUGAAAGGGUAAAAAUACACUAUACCUGUGGCCUUAAAUAAAAUAACGUGUGUACA